rnacentral:rRNA from 1 species
GACGAACGCUGGCGGCGUGCCUAAUACAUGCAAGUUGAGCGCUGAAGGUUGGUACUUGUUCCAACUGGAUUAGCAGCGAACGUGUGAGUAACGCGUGGGCAAUCUGGCUUUGAGCGGGGGACAACAGUUGGAAACGAAGGCUAAUACCGCAUAAAAACUUUAAACACAAGUUUUAAGGUUGAAAGAUGCAAUUGCAUCACUCAAAGAUGAUCACACGUUGUAUUAGCUAGUUGGUGAGGUAAAGGCUCAACAAGGCGAUGAUACAUAGCCGACCUGAGAGGGUGAUCGGCCACAGUGGGACUGAGACACGGCCCAACCUCCUACGGGAGGCAGCAGUAGGGAAUCUUCGGCAAUGGACGAAAGUCUGACCGAGCAACGCCGCGUGAGUGAAGAAGGUUUUCGGAUCGUAAAACUCUGUUGGUAGAGAAGAACGUUUGUGAGAGUGGAAAGCUCAUCAAGUGACGGUAACUACCCAGAAAGGGACGGCUAACUACGUG